rnacentral:rRNA from 1 species
GAGCAGAGAGGGGUAAAACUCUCAAAGUAAGUUUUGUGGGUCAAGGUAUAGUGAUGAAUUGGAGUUCUAGUUCAUUUACUUUGAGAAAAUUAGAGUGUUUAAAGCAGCCUCUUGGGGCACUGAAUACAUUAGCAUGGGAUAAUAGAAUAGGAUCUUUACAAUACAUUUUAUUGGUUUAAAUUGAAAUAAAGAUAAUGAUUAAUAGGGACAGUUGGGGGUAUUCAUAUUGGGUGGUUAGCGGUGAAAUGCUCGGAUCCAUUCAAGAUGAACUAAAGCGAAAGCAUUUACCAAGGAUGUUUUCAUUAAUCAAGAACGAAAAGUUAAGGGAUCGAAGACGAUUAGAUACCGUCGUAGUCUUAACUAUAAACUAUGCCGACCAGGGAUAUGAGUUGUUAAGAUUAUAUGAAAAUAUAAUCAAUUUCUUCUUAUGAACCUUGUGAGAAAUCAUAAGUUAUUAGGUUCUGGGGGAGUAUGGUCGCAAGGCU